rnacentral:lncRNA from 1 species
AAGAGAACCUCAUCAACCCAAGAGGCAAACAGGGUGGAAAGCUAAUGCUCAAUCCAUUCCAGAGGGAUCAAAGAGCUCAGUGACAAACAAGAAACCAUAAUAAAGGGUCUUGGAACCAACUCCCGGUGGAUCCCCAACACAACAGCAAAUAUGAAACCUGCCACCAAGAGACCAGUCAGCAGCA